UUUAAUAAUUUUUUGUCCAGAUAUUAACAAUGAAUCCUUAAAUCAAAUUAUGGUGGUCCCAAACGUCUACAAAUUAAGGUUUCUUUGUGAACAUUAAUUAAAAAGUCAAAUGAUAAAGAAAUGAAAAAGCCUCUAGCUCACAAGUCACAAACUUCCCAAAGGAUUUGGAUAAAACUUUUGUGUGCAGUUAUCCAUAAAAUGCCAGCCAUAAAGUUACCGCUCCUCGUGACCGGCCUACUAUUUGCGUCAAGCCGGAUAUUUUUAAAAAUCUAAGGAAAUUAACAUAAUCUGUAAAAAACUUCUGGAUCUGGGUUUGGAUGGUUUGGCAAUUUGAAGGGUGCACCUCGCAUAGCGGAUUCUCAGAAACGCUAAAAGGGCUGUUUUCUUUGCAAAGGUAGAUUUCAUUUGAUACCUCUGAACCUUUGGCAUUGAACAGUACACAUGAAUGUUCAUUAAGGAUAAGGUAUUGGCUUUGAGGGAUAAUUAAUAUAGUUGAAACAUGGAAUUUAAUGGUACGGGUAGAGGCUAUAUAUUACAUAAUUUUUGAGCUCUACAAUAGGUAUUUCUAUAAUAAAGAAUAUUUUAUUUUCCUUUGUAUAACUUUUAAUUUCAACAAUCUUUUCAAUAAAAUAUUUUCUAGAGUA